AUCGAAGCCUAUAGCCGUCUCUUUCGGGGGACGUGAUGGGUGGCUGGUGUCCUCCUGUUGAGGGGUGUAUGACGCAGUGUGGGCCGGCCUUCCGGGUCGCGAAUCCCCACUUCUGCGGCGGACCACCCCUUGAGCAAACCAGUGGGGGCAAUUGGAUGACCCGUGGAUGCUUCUCGGCGGCCCUGGCCCCGUUAAGUCGCCCGGGUCGGGCGCUGGGCUUCGGCCCUGGCCCCGACCUCUUAACUAACUCUGACCCCCUCUUCGCGGAGGGUUCCGGCCGUGGCUUGCCUUUGGUGGUCCACUUCCCGGUUAAGAUAGUUACCUGGUUGAUUCUGCCAGUAGUCAUAUGCUUGUCUCAA
rnacentral:misc_RNA from 1 species